CUACGGGAGGCAGCAGUAAGGAAUAUUGGGCAAUGGGCGAAAGCCUGACCCAGCAACGCCGCGUGGAGGAUGACGGAUUUCGGUUCGUAAACUCCUUUUACAGGGGACGAGGAAGGACUGUACCCUGGGAAAAAGUCACGGCUAACUACGUGCCAGCAGCCACGGUAAAACGUAGGUGGCAAGCGUUAUCCGGAUUUACUGGGCGUAAAGCGUGUGCAGGCGGUCUUCCGAGUGGUGUAUGAAAGCGCCCGGCUUAACCGGGCGAGGUUAUGCCAGACUGGGAGGCUGGAGACAGAGAGAGGGACGUGGAAUUCCGGGUGUAGUGGUGAAAUGCGUAGAGAUCCGGAGGAACACCAGAGGCGAAAGCGGCGUCCUAGCUCUGUUCUGACGCUCAGACACGAAAGCAUGGGGAGCGAACGGGAUUAGAAACCCGAGUAGUCC
rnacentral:rRNA from 1 species